GAAUCAGAAUGAGAUCGAAGUGGCCAUUGAGAAGAGGAAUGGUAGGUUUUUAUUGCAGAUGGCUGGGAGAUCCUAAAGAGGUUUUAUAAGAUUUUUUCCGGCACUUGGAUCACGGUGGUGUACGCAGAUAGACACCUUUUUGUGUUGGAAGUCAGAGAUUUCCAUGGACAAGAAUUGGUGUAUCCACAAUUCACUCCUCCUCAAAGAUUGCUGCUGGAGAAUCAUAGGAUAUACGAGAAAUGGCAACUAUUACUUUGUUGAUAUAUUAUGCAUAUUUGAUCUCAAUGAAGUGAUCUUUUCAUUAUGUUGCUGCAUGAUGUUACAAUCUUUUUAGGCGGAGAGGAGGGGAUGAUCUUGAACAAAGUCAUAUUAAAUGGGUGGAAACUGUAAAAUUGGCACCAGACAUCAUUAACAUGAAAUUUACACCCAUCGUUUCUCUUCUUGAAGGAGUACAUGGCGUAAAGCUUUUGGAACGUGCUAUUGAUCUAUAUCUACAGUUCUCUGAGGCCAUACCUAGAAGUAGAUAUUAGUGGGCGACAAUAAUAAAAGUCAAGGUAAUCUCUUAGACAUGUUGGAGUAUAUCUACUAUAAUCAAUUUCCUCUCAUGGACAACUAUAUGUGCCUCUAAGAAAGGCUUGAAGAUACCGGUAAUUGACGAAAAAAAUUGAAGAUGUAGAUGUAAUGUCAAAUGUAGUUUACAAAGACAUUUCAUAAUGUUCAAUAGUUACUUAC
rnacentral:lncRNA from 1 species